rnacentral:rRNA from 1 species
CCUACGGGUGGCAGCAGUGGGGGAUAUUGCACAAUGGGGGAAACCCUGAUGCCGCGACGCCGCGUGUGGGAAGACGGUCUUCUGGAUUGUAAACCACUGUCCCCAGGGACGAAAAUGACGGUACCUGGGGAGGAAGCUCCGGCUAACUACGUGCCAGCAGCCGCGGUAAUACGUAGGGAGCAAGCGUUGUCCGGAAUUACUGGGUGUAAAGGGAGCGUAGGCGGGGAUGCAAGUUGGGUGUCAAAACUACCGGCUCAACCGAUAGUCGCACUCAAAACUGCAACUCUUGAGUGAAGUAGAGGCAGGCGGAAUUCCUAGUGUAGCGGUGAAAUGCGUAGAUAUUAGGAGGAACACCAGUGGCGAAGGCGGCCUGCUGGGCUUUUACUGACGCUGAGGCUCGAAAGUGUGGGGAGCAAACAGGAUUAGAUACCCGGGUAGUC